AGGUCAAUAAGGAGGUUGAUGAUUUGAGAAAGGAAACUCCAAAGUCCUUUUGGAGGACAGAUCUUGAUGCUUUGGAGGGGCAACUCGAUGAGCUAGAGAGAAGUGAUGUGAGUCAGAGGAGUUAAGAAAGAAAAUGAGAGGCAAAGCAAGGGGUGAAGCUGCUAUGAAGUCUGCUAGACAAGCACCCAAGAACCCACGGAAGAACAAUAAUAAGAAGGCAAAUAAUGCAGAAUCUGUUGCAGAAGCUGUCUCGUCAUCUGUGGCUGCAAUGGAAAUUGAGAAAGCUCCUGCUAAGGUCUGUUUCUGUUCGUAUGUUCUAUUUUUCCUUCGAAAGGAUGAGGUUAAAGAACGAUAGAAGUUGCUGCCUAUAACCUCGAUGCAUCUCCUGAUCAAUCAGCCGCCAUGGAGACUGAAGUGCCCAAAGUACCAGCCAAGAAGAAAGAACCUAGCAAAAGGGCUGCUGCUGCACAGAAGAAGAAGCCCUUGGCAACUGUUUCGGAGAUAUCUGAUGAUGAUGAUGAUGAUGAUUAUAAUGAUAUUAAUGAAAUUGAUGAUGAUGAUGAAGAUAGUGAGAUAGAAGUUGUAGCUACUCCAGAAGCGAGGAAAAAGGGCGGGGGAAAACUGGCUGCAAAUGCUAAGGCAGUUAAGGCCCCUGCAGCGGCAAAGAAGAGAGGUGCAGCGAAUAAGCAGCAGCCUCAGACAUUGGCCUAGAAGCUUUUAACUGACAUGUUAAAGCCUGCUGAAAAUUCCAGGAUUUCACUGGAGAAAAAAGUGAGAAAGAUGAGGGCAUCUCCAUUCAACAAGAAAAGUGGUUCUGUGUUGGGAAGGGUUGGUAAGGUAAAUGAAGUGACUGAAAAUGAAGAAAAUUCGGGUUCUGCUUCUACUUCUGCCAGUACUGAAGAAACUAUUGAAGUUGCACCAGCAAGAGCAAGACCUCAAAGGGUGAACCAAGUUAGAAAACAAGAAAGAGUAUGACAGAAUAUGAUCCGCGUCUUGUGGCUCCAACCUGCUUGUACCUGGCAUCAAAAGCAGAAGAAAGCACAGUGCAGGCCAGGCUUCUUUUAUUUUACCUUAAAAAAUUAUAUGCUGAUGAAAAGUAUGACUCAAUUAACUUGGUGCUAUGGGCCAGGUAGUUGCCCAUCAAAGAGGGUCGCAUGGGCUAGAGAAUUGAUAGACGAAGAAGCAGAACAGUUCCUCAUGCCUCGUUUCAUUGACCCAGAUUCAGAAAGACCUUGGCUUGCCCAAAGAAUGGCCUUGAGGAUACCAUAUUCUGCGUAAAGUUAAUGGAAGGAGACCUGCUUAUGCUUCCCAGCAACUAAUAUAAGAUCUGCAUAAUACGUUUUAUUUUUAAGUCUUUGAUUGGUCAAGUUAUGAGAGAAUAGCAUGGUGCCUUUUGAUGUAUGAACUUCCUCUAUAGAUUGUUUGGCUUAUAUUUUGUGAACUUGUCCGAUCAGCUUGUGUUAAGAUUCUUUCAAAUAGUGUUUCAAAAGGGACAGUAUCAUUUUCAGCAAUUCGUGACU